rnacentral:lncRNA from 1 species
UGGGGUUCAUUAACAGCACUGGCAGCGCUGAGCACAUUGUCAUCUUUUGUGGAAAAUACUUGCGGAAUGAAUGAACGCAUUUCUACCGGACUGCAACGUCCAGAAAAGCCGGGGGCGGUGGCUCUCCUACAUUGUAUUCUGUAGCAGGCAGAGGCUUUCUGCACGUGGAGUGUGGCUGUGACUGUGCAGUGGUCAGUGUGUGAGCUGUGGCAUAUGGAAGAGGACAGCGAACUUGGAAUCAGAAGGUGGGAGUCGCAGCUCUGCUUCUUGCCACAUGGAUGGGAUCAUCAUUUAUAAACACACGAGGGAACAAUCUGCCAUGAAGAAGAGUCAGCCAACACAGGAAAGAGGGGAAGUGGAAUAAAAGGGUAGACUUGUUGGUUAAGAACCCUGAA